CGGAGUGCGGUUUGGAGCGUAGUCAUGUGCUGACAGGGAGAGCGGGGCAUUAGUAGUCAGAGCUGGGACGCAGGACGGGACCAUGUUACCCUCUAUGGUGCGGAGGUGGCUGAACAGACCGAAGAAGUCAGAUCCUCGUCUAAUGGCAAAAUUCUUUUAUGUUGAUGAGGAGGUGAGCUCGAUUGUACAUGAAUUACAGUGCCUUGAUGUGCGUAAGGACCCUCAGAAUUACUUGGUUUUGCUUGGCCAAUUACACAACAGCCAGGAGCGCAUGCUUUCUAUUCUGGAGCAGAUCCUAGACCAGUGUGUACCAACAAAGAGGAGGCAGAGAGACUAUCACCUCAAGUUUCCUGAUGACAUUGUAAAUAAUAAUAUGACGGCUCAUCUACUUUUUGCUGCUGAGCUUUUGGUAGGAGGCACAUAUGUUGAAGUGGAAGAGGCAGAUGGAGUUUUACUUCGACCCCUGGCCCAAGAGCUGCUACAGAGUCUGGAAUGUCUGAGACGGGAUCUAAGGGAACAAAGCCUUCAAGAUCCUGGAAUAUAUCCAGAAUCAAGCCACAAAGCUAUGCUACAGUAUGAUAAUCUGUGUGCAGAGUUUGAGCUGAGGUAUAUGUCGUUGGUGGUAAGUGUAAAGUCUCCUGAAGAAAUCUACGAGCAGCAGGAAGUAGCAGUACUUUUCUGUGAGACUGUUUCCAGAGCUCUACAGAGAGGACACCUAACACAGGAAAUGAUUGAUGAUUGUGAACCAGAGUUGAUGAUUUCCAUACCACGCUUGGCAAUUAUCAGUGGUCUUCUAAUAUUUCCCGAUGGACCAUUAAACUUGGAGAGACCACCAGAGAAGAUGUGUGAACUGUUCAGUCCAUUCUAUGGCCUCCUGAAGAAAAUAAGGGAAAUACUCUGCAUAUUGACUGAGAAAGAACUAUUUUCCCUUGAAAGAGCAUUGAGCUCAUCCUCUGAAGAUCCUUCCACGCCCCUGCCAGCCUGUAUGCCAACAUCAACUGAUUCAGGUUCUUUAGACUACGGUGGCCAAUCUGUGAAUUCCAAGCUCCCAUCUGCCAAUGAACAGACUUUCCAAAAUACAUCUUGGCCAAACUUUUCACAUGGUAACAUUGUGGCAUGUAAUAAUACAGUAUCUGGCACGUACUAUCCAUGUGCUCAGCAAGGUACUGUGGCAGUAGACUCCGAAUACAAGAGAAGCCAAGAUGUGAAACCACAGAAUGGUGCAAGAAGACCUGCAGAAAUUCUCCGCAAUGUGCAUGUCCGAUGUUCUGUUAGGGGAUCCAAGCUCAGUGACGUGCGUUCCCGGUACCGCAGUGACAGUGAUAUGCUGCAUCGUCUCUUUGUAUGCAUUGCUGGUGUUGCUGACCAACUGCAGACUAACUUUGCAAGUGACUUGCGUGUUAUUCUGAAAACUGUGUUUGAGACGACGAGCUCCAGGCAGCAAGUGGAUACGCAGAGAUCGUCUGAAAAUGCCUUUCAUUUACCCGAUUGUUCUGCUUGCCAAAGGGAACGGGAGGUUGGAGAAGCAACCAUUGAACCUCCAGAAUGGGUUCCAGACAGUGCGAGCACCCAAUGCAUGAGUUGCUAUGCUCCCUUCACACUAUUACGGAGGCGGCAUCACUGUCGAAGUUGUGGAAAGAUUUUCUGCUCCCGCUGCUCGGGUUAUACAACGUCUCUUCCUCAUGUUCAUAAUACUCAGCCUGUUCGAGUAUGUUCUCAUUGUUACCAUGUGCACUGCAGUUCUCAGAAUCGACAGAAAAAGAAGAUUGAGAUCACCACCUAGUGGGAUACUUCUAUAGCAACUGAAGAAAAGUGGUUUGGAAGCACAUUUCAUUCCCCCUUUUGUAACAGUAUGAAUACUGACUGGCUUUUCAUGUAUGAAUAUUUUUGGACAGUACUUUGUGUUUACAUUGAAGUAUGAGCAGCGAGCCUCCAUUUACAGGGUACAUUAAAAAUUCAAUGGGGUAGCUAAUUUAUAUUCUUGAAUUGUGAAUCUUUUUCUUUACAUGAUUUUAUGUGUAUAUUGUGUUCAGUGUAUAUACUCUUCUACUAGUAUCGGUGAUUACUCUUAUAUUUAUGCUACAUCCUGAGCACUUAAAAUGGACCUUUCACCGAUUAUUACACUAUGAACUAACUAUACAGACAUGUAGAGCGGUGCCCGGG